CACGUUCGUUCGGUAAUGCUUUUUCCAGAAAAAUGAAAUUGGUUGAUAAAAAGAAUUCCGUUGCCGGGACUUGAACCCGGGUCUCUCGGGUGAGAGCCGAGUAUCCUGACCAACUAGACUACAACGGAAUGUUGGUUGUUUCAAUAGGUAAAACUUACUUGUACCAUAUCCAAAGAAUUAGCCGCUGAUGAAUUGUAGUAAGUAAUGAGGGUCGAGAAUCUCAAACCCUAAUCAGCAUCGAUGAGAAUCGCAAGCACUUCUCAUCUGGUUAAUCUUCCUCAUCAAAUUACAGUCGGACGCAUGAGUUUAAAUUACACUGCAAUCGGAGGCUACCGCAUCAGCAAUAUUGUGGCGGAAAUUGCGUUCGCGGCCCACAAUUUAGAACCAUGGUUGUGGUUGUGGAUGUGGAGGAGAUUGUUGUUUAAGUUGGAGGAUGGAUGACUUGCUGAUAGAUCUUUGAAACUUAUUCAAUGGGGUAGGCUUUUGAAGCAAUGAAGAGUAUUCUCAUAGAGUUAGAAGCUUUUACAAGAUAGAUUUCCAACUAUAUCUCACCUUUUUAAAAGAGGAUCAAUGGAUUGUGAGAACCGAGAACAAGCAUUAAAGUGAUAUAUCCCAAACUAUUUCAAGUGGCUAAAAACAAAGAGGCAAGCAACUGUGACUAAGAUUGUAUGCUAGAGUAUGAUGGCGUCUGGAGUUUUUAUGGCUGUGGAGGAGAAUGAUGUUUAGGUGGGGUGAGGACUUGCUAUUAGAUAUCUGAAACUUAUUUGUUGUGGUAGACUUUUCAAACAAUGAAGAAUAUUCUCUUGGAGGCUUUUUCAACAUAGAUUACCAACUAGAACUCAACUUAAAGAGCUGCUGCAUGAGCAAGGAGUAGGUGAUGUGCAACUAAAUAGGGCUCUGUCCCUGAAUCACCGCCGGUGCAGUUGAGAUUUAGCCAAUCAGAGCAUCGACCGGGCGGAAACAUCCCUAUAACAUAUCCUGCUGUUGUGUAAGUCGAUGGUUCAUUUAUAGUAAUCCAAUGUUUCACUCGAUCUCCAAAUUCCUUGAAGCAAAGCUCCGCGUAAUCCCGAAAAUCAAAUCUAAAAGUUCAUAAUAGAAAAGUAUAAACAUUAGUUUUGUGCAUUUUAGAAACAGACACUUAUAACAUAGAUUUAGAGGUCAUAACAUAUAGUACAUAAAAAGUUUGUUACUUACACAAUGAGAGGACUUAAGAAACCACCAUAUUCAUCUUCCAAAGCUUGUGGUAGAUCCCAAUGAAAAAUGGUUGCAAAUACUUCUAUACCUGAAAAACUAAUUAUUUUUUAAUCAACUUUAAUUGCAAAAAUGUCUUGAGAAAUUAGAAAAUCAAAAUUUACAAAAAAUAAAUAAAAAUUUGAAUUAUGACCAUUAGCUAAUAGCUCGUUGAUCAUGUUGUUGUAGUAUGUGAUCCCUUCCUCAUUUAUACCUCCACUUAUUCUUCCACCUGUUGAUUAUCAUUUUUUUAUUAUUAUGAAAAUGCCAUAAUUAAUGCAUUAUUUAAUUAUGUAAAGGAUAUGAGUCGAUAAAAAAUCGACUUACUUGGUAGUAUUCUCGACCAUGAGAUGGAUAAUCUGUAUGCAUCUAAAUUCAUAUACUUCAUGAUUCCAACAUCUUCCUGUAAUUUUAUAAUAAAUUCAGUUUGUUGAGUUUAGUUUUAAUAUUCUCUACUCUGAUAUGAAUCAUACCUUGUAUAGAUGAUACCCAUCAACAGAGACUUCUCCUGUGUUUCUGUCAGCUAUCUUUUCUGUAUAUCAAUCACCAAUGAAUACAUUUUAGUUUUUCUUGUUU